UUUUUUGAAAUAAAAGGAAAAUGGACCAGUUUAAUAAAUUCACAACAUGUAUAUCCCAAUUCAAAUACAGAAAUUAAAAAGCAUUAAUUUUAUAGCUAAUGCAUUAAUUUGUGGGCUUUUCACAAACUAAUGUUUUCUUUCCAUAUCCAUUGAACCAGAAAUAAUUUUGAGAGAAAACAUUGAAUGGUUAAUGAAAUAUUUUUGCCUUAAAGCGUUUUUCUAUUAUUUAAAGCUUAUUGAUUUUCCCAGUUUGUCGUCAACAAGCACUGCCAAGCAGAGGCAGUUACAUUAUAUUGUUUGUAGCCUGAAUGGACAAUUUAAUUUUAAAUGGAUACAAUUCGAAGUUGCUGAACAGCCAAAAAUUUACCCUCUUUAACCUGGGUUUUGGCAGCUUUUAAAGUAAAAAAAAAUAUUGCCUUCAAAAACUCUUCAAAUCUCUAGUUAUGAAUAUAAUAACAUGAAGCUUAUCAAGCUUUUAGAAGUCUUGUGCAACACAGCUAAUUUUAUUUAUCCAAUCAAAACACUUGUUACAAUUAACCAUAUUAAAUUAUGUUUAGAAUCUUUUUGCUGUUGUGAUUUUUUCCCCCUUUUUUGUCCAUUCUGUUACAUGUAAGAGAACAUGCAUGCAUUGUGAUAGAUUCAAACACUAUAUUCAACAAUGUUCAAUGAUAUAAUAUAAUGUUGUGGAUGUUAAAUUUAGUGAUAUCUCUCUUUUUUUUUUCUUUUUUUUCAUGUUUUUGCAAGUACAUAUCAUAUAUUUUUAAAGCAUGCAGAUUAAAUUUACUAAAGAAUUGAAACAUUUUUUUUUCAAGAAUUAAAAAAAAAAUUAUUCUAUAGAUUAAAAAAUGAAUGUACAAUGUACCCCAAAACUUUUGAAAAAUGCCAAUUUUUAAAGGAUUUAUCCUACAUGUGUACCAUCCAUUUAAAAUGGAAAAAAUGUGUGUUAAUUAAUUAAAAUGUGAUGAACAAGUUUUUACCAACUGUUUUUUUAAUUUGAUUUCUUCCAAUAGACUUAAAGUUUGUUUUAUACAUACAUGUAUCCUUUAUAUUACUAGUAUAGACAAAAAUGAUCUACUUCUUAGCAUAAUAACUUAAUUUCAGAUGAAAAAAAAUCAAAACCAAACUUGUAUUCAUUAUAUGUGAAAACUAUAUACAUAUAUAGUAAGUGUUUAUGUUUAGUAAACCUUUUCAACUUUUGUGUAUAUUUUGUAAUAUUUUAUUCAUUUUUAAAUAGUAUAUCAUGAUAUUUAUUUUCUUUUUGAUGUUAGUGAGUAAAUCAAACUGUUCUAUUGUUAAAAAUUGUGCAUGAAGUUUUUGUUUAAUAUUCAUGAUAAUAGUCAACACUUUGAUUAUAUGUACAUUUAUUUCUUUGUGUUAUUUAUCACAAAUUAUUAUUAUUCAAUUGAUAAUUACAAAUAUUAUUUGUUAACAGCAUUAUAUUUAAGCAUGCAGUGUAUUUUAAAAAUUAGAAAACAUGUUUAAAAAAAGAUGAACAAAAAAAUUUGCAUGGCACUGAUGAGUAGAGAGGAAAAGUUAAGAUUUAAGAAUUUUCUAUCAUGUUUAAGAUGUCAGUAUUUUUUUGGAAUUCGUUAUAAACGUACAAAUCAAGUUAACAUUGAAAUUAACAUACGGAACCAGAUAAAACUGUCACAUCAGAAACUACCAGCACAUUAAAGUGUUCAAACAUUAAAUGAGAUUAAAUUCCAUGACAUUUUUUUUAGUAUUAAAGAAAAACCUCAGUACUAGUGAUUGUAUUUUCUUUAUAAUACCUGGAUUUUAAGAAAUAUUAAACUUUAGCUUAGUAUCAAAAUAUCUGUUUAAAUAUAUUAUGUUUUUAUUUGUUUCAUCAUGAAGACUUGCAUAUUAUUUCUUAAUCAUAUUAGGAAAGGAUUUAAAAAAAAAAAAAAAAAAUAGUAGGUUAUACUAAUGUAUAAUAAUGCUGGGUUUUUUUUAAAGAUUUAUUUGGCAUAUUUUGUUUUUAACAUUUGUAAAGGUUAUUUGGCAUGAGUUAAGGUUACUCACUGUCCCCUGUGGUUUUGAUGUCAGGUUUACCUAUUAGUCCCUUAUGAUUUCUCAGGUUUAUCAUCUUUUUACAUAAAUUAGUUGUUGUGUUAGUUCUAGUAUGCAACUAAAUUACUUCAUAUCAUACACAAAGUAUUUAGUUUAUUAAAAGAAGAGAGAAGAACAGGUCUUUAAAGUGAUUUAUCAGCUGUUUUCAGAGCUUUUUUUAUUGGAAAGAAUAUUAAAUAUUCCAGGAUUAUGAAUGAAGGAGAGAUUUGAAUUAAACAUUGGGACCUGAAAGCAAGACUCGUUCUCGUGUUGAGGGAUAAGAUUUUAAUGUCAUUUGACAUUGUGCAUUGUUUUACACAAUGCUAUAUUUUUUUCCAGGAAAAGAAAGAAAAGAAAAAAAAACAUUUAUUAUGAGCCCUGUGUCUAAACAACUUGAGCGAAAAUACAGAAAAAAUAAGAUAUUCCCUGCUACAAAGCAUUUCAUGUCAAUUUAAUACAAGUAUAAUUAUACAGUUGCUUCAAAUUGGUUAAAAAACACAAGGAUUACUAUAAAAGUUAUUUUGACAUUUACAUUUAGAUGCAUGCUCAGGCAUGACAUUUCUGCAUUGUAAUUAAUACUCUGUGGAAAAAGUUGGUUCAUUUAUUUUACAUUAGGAGUAAUAGUAAGCAAAAAAUGACUUUUAACGAGUACAGUGUGAUGGUAAUUUCUGUGUAAAGUUAUAGAUGUAUGUCAAGAGCGUUAGAACUGUGGAAAAGAAAGCAGUCCUUUAUUGAGUAAAAUAGAAAGAAAAGAUUGUUACUGGAACUUUUAUGAUGAACAAAUACUGUUUAUAGUGAACAUAAAUGUUACUUUUGCAAUGGAAUGUAAUGCUUACAUGUUCAAACGUUUUGAAUGAAUGUCCUGACGUCAUAAUUAUUUGUUGUAUGCUGGUAAGAAACCAAUCAAUUAAAUUAAUUUCUUAAUUUUAUUAAUUUUUUGUUAAAAAAAAAAUUUGAAUGUUUUAUUUCAAUUGUGUUAAAAUUCUCUUCUCUGUUAUUAGCAUUUAUUUCUUGUUGACGCAGUUUGAAUUAAAAAGUUUAACCUUA